rnacentral:misc_RNA from 1 species
GAUGAAGAACGUAGCGAAAUGCGAUAAGUAGUGUGAAUUGCAGAAUUCAGUGAAUCAUCGAAUCUUUGAACGCACAUUGCGCCCGCCAGUAUUCUGGCGGGCAUGCCUGUUCGAGCGUCAUUUCAACCCUCAAGCUCUGUCUUGCGCUUGGUGUUGGGGAUCGGCCCUGCCCGCCAGCCCGGGCGGGCCGCCCCCGAAAUGAAUCGGCGGUCUCGUCGCAGCCUCCUCUGCGUAGUAAUUCAGUUAUCCUCGCACUUGGAGCGCGGCGCGGCCACUGCCCGUAAAACGCCCAACUUCUCAAGAGUUGACCUCGAAUCAGGUAGGAAUACCCGCUGAACUUAAGCAUAUCAAUAAGCGGAGGA